UGGGGUAUCGCCAAGCGGUAAGGCACCGGUUUUUGAUACGGCAUUCCGAGGUUCGAAUCCUCGUACCCCAGCCA
rnacentral:tRNA from 1 species